GCGGGGAUGGCCCAGCUCGGUAAGGCGCUGGAUUGCUAAUCCAGUCCUCGAAAGAGGUCGGGGGUUCAAAUCCCCCUCCCCGCG
rfam:Euryarchaeota archaeon RBG_16_68_12 RBG_16_scaffold_68508, whole genome shotgun sequence.